rnacentral:rRNA from 1 species
GUCCACGCCGUAAACGAUGGGUGCUAGGUGUGGGGGGUGUCGACUCCCUCCGUGCCGAAGCUAACGCAUUAAGCACCCCGCCUGGGGAGUACGGCCGCAAGGCUAAAACUCAAAGGAAUUGACGGGGGCCCGCACAAGCAGCGGAGCAUGUGGUUUAAUUCGACGCAACGCGAAGAACCUUACCUAGGCUUGACAUGCACGGGAAUGUCGUGGAAACACGCCAGCCCUUCGGGGCUCGUGCACAGGUGUUGCAUGGCUGUCGU